GAUGAACGCUAGCGGCAGGCCUAACACAUGCAAGUCGAGGGGUAACUAGAGUGAUAGCAAUAUUACUUUGGCUAGACCGGCGCACGGGUGCGUAACACGUAUGCAACCUACCUUAUACUGGGGAAUAACUUCGAGAAAUCGACGCUAAUACCCCAUAACAUUGCGAAGAGGCAUCUCUUUGCAAUUAAAGCUCCGGCGGUAUAAGAUGGGCAUGCGUCCAAUUAGCUAGUUGGUGAGGUAACAGCUCACCAAGGCUACGAUUGGUAGGGGUUCUGAGAGGAUGAUCCCCCACACUGGUACUGAGAAACGGACCAGACUCCUACGGGAGGCAGCAGUGAGGAAUAUUGCGCAAUGGACGAAAGUCUGACGCAGCCAUGCCGCGUGCAGGAUGACGGCCCUAUGGGUUGUAAACUGCUUUUGUACGGGAAUAAACCCUUCUACGUGUAGGAGGCUGAAGGUACCGUAAGAAUAAGCACCGGCUAACUCCGUGCCAGCCGCCGCAGUAA
rnacentral:rRNA from 1 species